rnacentral:rRNA from 1 species
CAGUCGCCACGGUAAUACGUAGGGUGCGAGCGUUAAUAGGAAUUACUGGGCGUAAAGCGUGCGCAGGCGGUUAUAUAAGACAGAUGUGAAAUCCCCGGGCUCAACCUGGGACCUGCAUUUGUGACUGUAUAGCUAGAGUACGGUAGAGGGGGAUGGAAUUCCGCGUGUAGCAGUGAAAUGCGUAGAUAUGCGGAGGAACACCGAUGGCGAAGGCAGUCCCCUGGACCUGUACUGACGCUCAUGCACGAAAGCGUGGGGAGCAAACAGGAUUAGAUACCCGCGUAGUCCCUGUCUCUUAUAC